rnacentral:rRNA from 1 species
GACGAACGCUGGCGGCGUGCUUAACACAUGCAAGUCGAACGGAAAGGCCCUGCUCUUGCGGUGUGCUCGUGUGGCGCGGGGGUGUGUAACACGUGUGUAACCCGCCCUUGUCUUUGGGAUAUCUUCAGGAAACUGGGGCUCAUACCGGAUAGGAUCUCCUGCUGCGUGGUGGGGGUUGGAAAGUUUCGGCGGUGGGGGAUGGACUCGCGGCUUAUCAGCUUGUUGGUGGGGUAGUGGCUUACCAAGGCUUUGACGGGUAGCCGGCCUGAGAGGGUGACCGGCCACAUUGGGACUGAGAUAGGGCCCAGACUCCUACGGGAGGCAGCAGUGGGGAAUAUUGCGCAGUGGGCGGAAGCCUGAUGCAGCAACGCCGCGUGCGGGAUGACGGCUUUCGGGUUGUAAACCGCUUUGGCCUGUGACGAGGCGUGCGUGACGGUAAUGGGUAAAGAAGCACCGGCUAACUACGUG